CUUGCUCCAUGAUUCAGCGGCGGACGGGUGAGUAAUGCCUAGGAAUCUGCCUGGUAGUGGGGGACAACGUUUCGAAAGGAACGCUAAUACCGCAUACGUCCUACGGGAGAAAGUGGGGGAUCUUCGGACCUCACGCUAUCAGAUGAGCCUAGGUCGGAUUAGCUAGUUGGUGAGGUAAAGGCUCACCAAGGCGACGAUCCGUAACUGGUCUGAGAGGAUGAUCAGUCACACUGGAACUGAAACACGGUCCAAACUCCUACGGGAGGCAGCAGUGGGGAAUAUUGGACAAUGGGCGAAAGCCUGAUCCAGCCAUGCCGCGUGUGUGAAGAAGGUCUUCGGAUUGUAAAGCACUUUUAAGUU
rnacentral:rRNA from 2 species